AUUUCAAUUGUAGAAGUUUCAUUUAUUAAUAAUUAUUUUGAUUAUAGCUCUCGAUGACAUCGCGUGACUUGUGAAAUAACAUAAGAGUUGGUGAUAAGAGAACAUUGUUGUAGGUCUACCGGCUAUUUCAAUCAUCACCCUAAUGUGUACUUCCAAAUAAUACAGUAGUGGUUCGCUAGUCCAUAAAAAGAACAGAUAGAUUCUUAUCAGACCCUAUGACCGGGAUGAUUAUUCUCACAUUACUGUCUCAAAGAUUCCUUGCAAUCCCUGAGAUACGCCAAAUUCGAAAUCGGAAUUUUCCAGGGUAAUAAUUCUAAUUGGCCAUAUUAGUAAGUUAUGUAUUUUAUAAGUAUUAUAAGUUAUAAUAAUUACAGAUCAUAUUAAUAAGUUAUUAGUCUAAUAUCCUCUUUCAUUUCUUAACAUUAAAAGAAGAAGAAGCUUGAAAUCUUCUCAUAUUUCAUAUAUUUUCAUUUUACAAUCGUUAUUCAUGAAAAAAUAUUGGAAGAUUACUACAAACUACAGAGUGACUAUAAAUCAAGCUUCAGACUGACAUCAUCGGAAUGUUCCACAAUCAUGGGAUUGCAUUUGAAUAAUAUUAGAGUAAUGCUACCGGUUUCAAAUAUUA